rnacentral:rRNA from 1 species
CAUUAAUGUAUUUUUAAAAUGUUGUCCUGGUUUUGUAACUAAAAUGGUUUGGCAGUGAGCGAUUCUUGUUAGGGGAAGAUGCAUAGUAAAGGAUGGUCCACCUAUUAUUUUGCUCUUGUUAUGUUGGUGUAUAUCUGGUUUGAUAUUAUCGUUUAAUGGUUUGAGUUUGUGUAGUUUUAGUUAAGCCAAGUCUAUGUGCUGCUUAUAGGAGUUUUUGUGUGUUACAUUAAUAAGGGUGUUAUUGUAAUAUGAUAUUAUUUAGGACUUAAUAGUAAUGUUUAAAUAAGUUUGUUGAUGUGAAAUAGGUUUAGCUCA